AGCAGCCGCGGUAAUUCCAGCUCCAAUAGCGUAUAUUAAAGUUGUUGCAGUUAAAAAGCUCGUAGUUGAAUUUCGGGGUCAGUAGGUUGGUCAUGCCUUCGGUAUGUACUGGUCUCACUGAUUCCUCCCUCUUGAAGAACCGUAAUGUCAUUAAUUUGAUGUUGCGGGGAAACAGGACUGUUACUUUGAAAAAAUUAGAGUGUUUAAAGCAGGCUCACGCUUGAAUACAUUAGCAUGGAAUAAUGAAAUAGGACGUUCGAUCCUAUUUUGUUGGUUUCUAGGAUUGACGUAAUGAUUAAUAGGGAUAGUUGGGGGCAUUAGUAUUCAAUUGUCAGAGGUGAAAUUCUUGGAUUUAUUGAAGACUAACUACUGCGAAAGCAUUUGCCAAGGAUGUUUUCAUUAAUCAAGAACGAAAGUUAGGGGAUCGAAGACGAUCAGAUACCGUCGUAGUCUUAACCAUAAACUAUGCCGACUAGGGAUCGGAUGAUGUUAAUUUUUUAAUGACUCAUUCGGCGCCUUA
rnacentral:rRNA from 1 species